UGGGGAAUAUUGGACAAUGGGCGCAAGCCUGAUCCAGCCAUGCCGCGUGAGUGAUGAAGGCCUUAGGGUUGUAAAGCUCUUUCGCCGGUGAAGAUAAUGACGGUAACCGGAGAAGAAGCCCCGGCUAACUUCGUGCCAGCAGCCGCGGUAAUACGAAGGGGGCUAGCGUUGCUCGGAAUCACUGGGCGUAAAGCGCACGUAGGCGGAUCGUUAAGUCAGGGGUGAAAUCCUGGAGCUCAACUCCGGGAACUGCCCUUGAUACUGGCGAUCUCGAGUUCGAGAGAGGUUGGUGAACUCCGAGUGUAGAGGUGAAAUUCGUAGAUAUUCGGAAGAACACCAGUGGCGAAGGCGGCCAACUGGCUCGAUACUGACGCUGAGGUGCGAAAGCGUGGGGAGCAAAACAGGAUUAGAUACCCUGGUAGUCCACGCCGUAAAACGUGGACGCUAGCCGUUGGGGGGUUUACCUCUCAGUGGCGCAGCUAACGCCUUAAGCAUCCCGCCUGGGGGAGUACGGUCGCAAGAUUAAAAACUU
rnacentral:rRNA from 1 species